rnacentral:rRNA from 1 species
GACGAACGCUGGCGGCGUGCUUAAUACAUGCAAGUCGAACGAACAGGCCCGGCUCUUGCUGCUUUCUCGAUUGGCGAACGGGUGAGUAAAACACGUGUAACAUGUCCCUAUCAGUGUGGUAACUCCAGGGGACUGCGGCUAAUAUCGGGUAUAAUCUCUUGCUGCACGUGGGUCGAUGGUGAGAGACGGCGGUGGUGGAUGGUCUAGAUGCUUAUCAGCUUCUUGGUGUGGUAGUUGCUGACCAAGGUUUUGACGGGUAGCCUGCCUGGGAGGGUGACCGGCGACAUUGGGACUAAGGUAGGCACCAGAAGCCUACCGGCGGCAGCAGGCGGGAAUAUUGCACAAUGGGCGGAAGCCUGAUGCAGCAGUGCCGCGUGCGGGAUAACGGGCUUCGGGUUGUGAACCGAUUUCGAAUGUGCCGUAGAGUGAGUGACGGUAAUGGGUCAAGAAGCAACGGCUAACUACGUG